UUUACAAGUUUGAUUUAAGAAAAGAUUUUUAAAAAGGAAAUGGCAUAAGGUCAAAGUUUCUAGUUUGCAAUAAAGUCUAAGUUUUAAAAUCACAAGUAAAGAAUUUUUUUUUUUGAAAAGGGGCCGAGAUUUUGAAAUUUAAGAAGUGGGAGGACAUGAAGAGGCUCACCUAAGCAUAAAAUUAAACGUUAAGAGUUUAAAAGAUCUGACCAAUGGGAUGUAAUCCAACAGACAAGAAUGUCAUAUAGAAAACCCAUUUUCCCUUUGGACUUUGAAUCAAGGAAUUAGCAAUAUGAAGAGCAAGACAUCAAAUAAAUGUGGCCACAUCCAAGCA
rnacentral:lncRNA from 1 species